rnacentral:rRNA from 1 species
AGCGAACGCUGGCGGCAGGCCUAACACAUGCAAGUCGAACGGAUCCUUCGGGAUUAGUGGCGGACGGGUGAGUAACACGUGGGAACGUGCCCUUUGGUUCGGAACAACUCAGGGAAGCUUGAGCUAAUACCGGAUGUGCCCUUCGGGGGAAAGAUUUAUCGCCAUUGGAGCGGCCCGCGUCUGAUUAGCUAGUUGGUGAGGUAAAGGCUCACCAAGGCGACGAUCAGUAGCUGGUCUGAGAGGAGGAUCAGCCACAUUGGGACUGAGACACGGCCCAAACUCCUACGGGAGGCAGCAGUGGGGAAUCUUGCGCAAUGGGCGAAAGCCUGACGCAGCCAUGCCGCGUGAAUGAUGAAGGUCUUAGGAUUGUAAAAUUCUUUCACCGGGGACGAUAAUGACGGUACCCGGAGAAGAAGCCCCGGCUAACUUCGUGCCAGCAGCCGCCGUAACAC